AAAUGAAUUGACGGGGGCCCGCACAAGCGGUGGAGCAUGUGGUUUAAUUCGACGCAACGCGAAGAACCUUACCAAGACUUGACAUCCCUCUGACCAGCUUUUAAUCGAGCUUUCUCUUCGGAGCAGAGGAGACAGGUGGUGCAUGGUUGUCGUCAGCUCGUGUCGUGAGAUGUUGGGUUAAGUCCCGCAACGAGCGCAACCCUUACAUCUAGUUGCCAUCAUUAAGUUGGGCACUCUAGAUGGACUGCCGCAGACAAUGCGGAGGAAGGUGGGGAUGACGUCAAAUCAUCAUGCCCCUUAUGUCUUGGGCUACACACGUGCUACAAUGGACAGUACAAAGGGCAGCGAAGCCGCGAGGUGAAGCUAAUCCCAAAAAGCUGUUCUCAGUUCGGAUUGCAGGCUGCAACUCGCCUGCAUGAAGUCGGAAUCGCUAGUAAUCGCAGGUCAGCAUACUGCGGUGAAUACGUUCCCGGGCCUUGUACACACCGCCCGU
rnacentral:rRNA from 1 species